rnacentral:tRNA from 1 species
AACAAUGAAGUAAAAUAAUUACAAUUAGUUUCGACCUAAAAUUAGGAAAUAACCCAUGUUU